GAUGAACGCUGGCGGCGUGCCUAAUACAUGCAAGUCGAGCGAACAGACGAGGAGCUUGCUCCUCUGACGUUAGCGGCUGACGGGUGAGUAACACGUGGAUAACCUACCUAUAAUACUGGGAUAACUUCGUGAAACCGUAGCUAAUACCGGAUAAUAUAUUGAACCUCAUGGUUCAAUAGUGAAAUACGUUUUUUCUGUCACUUAUAGAUGUAUCCGCGCCGCAUUAGCUAGUUGGUAAGGUAACGGCUUACCAAGGCAACGAUGCGUAGCCGACCUGAGAGGGUGAUCGGACACACUGGAACUGAGACACGGUCCAGAAUCCUACGGGAGGCAGCAGUAGGGAAUAUUCCGCAAUGGGCGAAAGCUUGACGGAGCAACGCCGCGUGAGUGAUGAAGGACUUCGGAUCGUAAAACUCUGUUAUUAGGGAAGAAAAAAUGUGUAAGUAACUAUGCACGUAUUGACGGUAACUAAUCAGAAAGCAACGGCUAACUACGUG
rnacentral:rRNA from 1 species